rnacentral:lncRNA from 1 species
UCUUCAAUUCUAUAUUUUAUUCAUCAUCUAAUUGUAUCUCUACUAUUUUUAAUGAUUUUUCAAACUCACAUUUGAAUCUAUUUUAUGGUAAAUUUUGCCUAUUUCAUGGUUUCCAUGGAUUAGCUAGCAAUUUAGCAUACAUAACACUAAAUAUGAUCAUGAUUAGCCAUUCCAAUGGCUAAUCAUUACCAAGCAUUUCCAUACCACUCAAUAUCCAUAUCAUAAGACCAUAUAUACAAAAUGAUUGUAACGCUAUACAUGUCAUACUCAAAAUAUACAAGCCAUUAUGCCAAGAUGGUAUACGGAUAGUGUGAGUGGGCCUCCGACCGUUCCCGAUUUCCGAGCUGGCUUGUCAAAACUAUAAGGAAUGAAAAGGAGGGAGUGAGCAUAAAUGCUUAGUAAGUUCAUAUGAAAUUAAUAAGCAAUUACCAACAUGCUUUUAAGAUAAAACACCACAAUUGUACAAUUAUACAUACUCAGCUUAAACUGUUUUAUCGAGAUACAUUUACUAAAUAAUUUAUUUCUGGAGCUACGAAACUUCAAAUUAAGUUCUGUUAAUUUUCGUUGAAACUAGAUUCAUAUACCUUUCUCCCAUAAAAUUUCCAGAAUUUUUGGUUUAGCCAUUUAGUACAGUUUAUUCAUUAAAGUUUCCUCUGUUUCGCUGUCCAACAGUUCUGAUCUCUCUUCAUUAAAAAUUAUUUAUCUCAUAAUUCGGGACUUGGAUGAUGUUCCCGUCUAUCCCUCUUGAAAAUAGACUCGAUAAGGAUUUUAAAUAUAUAAAUUAAAACUCAUAAUUAUUUUUUUACAAUUUCUAAUGAUUUUCUAAAGUCAGAACAGGGGAUCUCGAAGUCAUUCAAACUCUGUCUCACAACAAUUUAAAUAUCUUAUAACAUAAAAUCCAAUUGCAUGCACCGUUUCCUCUAUAUGAAACUAGACUCAUCAGGAUUUAAUCUCAUAUUUUAUUCAGCCCUUAACUCAAUUUCCACAAUUUAUAGUGAAUUUCAAAAGAUACACUACUGCAGUAACCCAAAACUGCCAAGGCCAUAUUUAUCCAUUCACCACUAUUAUUCACUAAAUACAUACAAUAUCAUUUCAUCCAUCAUGGUAAGAACACAUAAUUAUGCUUCAUAAGCAUAGAUCCAUAAUCUCAAUGUCAUCAAGUAUCAAGAACUUAUUCCAAAUCGUGUCAUUUUCAUAGUAUUCACCAAUUCUUAAUCUUUUCGGGCCAUUUUACAUUUUCGUUCAUAAUCAAAUUAGGGAACGAUUAUGGAAUUGAGUACCUCAUUAUCACAAUGCCAUAGUAAAACUAUGGUAUUGCACAUAGUCACAUAUCACAUACCGAGGCCAUAGCCCAGCUAUGGUCUUACACGGAUCACAUAUCACACUGAUGCCAUAUCCCAGAUAUGGUCUUAUACAGUAGCACAUAUCACACCGAUGCCAUAUCCCGGAUAUGGUCUUAUACGGAAGCACAUAUCACAUUUCUCCGAAGCCAUAGCCCAGCUAUGGUCUUAUACGAAAAUCACAUUUCACAUGCUGCCAUGGUCCAACCAUGGUCUUUUCCGUCAAUUCGUCUUAGCCACUGAAUGAAAGUACUCAAGUCCGUUGUUCCAUUUAAUUUGUACUUUUAUUCAAAUAUCAUUUUACAAUUAUCACAGUUUAAUGACAUUUUAUAUGCAAUAAUAUACUAUAUCAUUCAUGAAAAUUUCAUUUCAAAACAUUAAAUUACACAUUGCAUUAUUAAAAAUCAUAUGAACUUACCUCGAUAUAAAAUAUUAGCAAUCGAGCCUAUUCCUCGUAAACUUUAUUUUUCCCUCGAUCACGACUUGAAUCUCGUUUCUCUUGAUCUAUAAUAUAAAUUAUUUCUACUCAUUAGUAUUUAUUUGAUUUCUAUUUCACUUCACAAUUUAUGCUGUUCAAAUUUCAAAAUUGCACUUUUACCCUAAAAUUUACAGUUUUUACAAUUUAGUCCCUGCUCAAUUCAUCCAUCAAUUGAACUAUUUUUUUUCUCAAUUAACACUUUUAUUUUAUCAUUAUAAACUAAUUCACAACCUUUGAUAUUCUGAAUUUCAACAUCAACAUCUAAUUCACAACUUUUUCACAAUUAGGUCCUAAAUACCAUUUUCUAUCAAAAUGACUUAAUAAAACAACCUUAAUAUGAAAUUUGAACUUAAAUUUCAUAAUAAUUCAUCAUAUACUGCCCUUACUCAGCCAGGGUAACUUCCAAUUUCACCCACCAAAUCAAAAACUAAUGAAUUAGAUGAUUGGACCUAAUUGCAAAAGUCUUAAAAAUACAAAAAAUAUAAGAAAAGGGCAAGAAAUAGACUCACAUGCAGUGAAAUUGUGCAAAGCCAGCUUAAAAGCUCUCUCCCAUGGCUGUCUGGCCGAAAUUAUGAGAAGAAUG